rnacentral:rRNA from 1 species
UGAACUCGCUGUGAAGAUGCAGUGUACCCGCGGCAAGACGGAAAGACCCCGUGAACCUUUACUAUAGCUUGACACUGAACAUUGAGCCUUGAUGUGUAGGAUAGGUGGGAGGCUUUGAAGUGUGGACGCCAGUCUGCAUGGAGCCGACCUUGAAAUACCACCCUUUAAUGUUUGAUGUUCUAACGUGGACCCGUGAUCCGGGUUGCGGACAGUGUCUGGUGGGUAGUUUGACUGGGGCGGUCUCCUCCUAAAGAGUAACGGAGGAGCACGAAGGUUGGCUAAUCCUGGUCGGACAUCAGGAGGUUAGUGCAAUGGCAUAAGCCAGCUUGACUGCGAGCGUGACGGCGCGAGCAGGUGCGAAAGCAGGUCAUAGUGAUCCGGUGGUUCUGAAUGGAAGGGCCAUCGCUCAACGGAUAAAAGGUACUCCGGGGAUAACAGGCUGAUACCGCCCAAGAGUUCAUAUCGACGGCGGUGUUUGGCACCUCGAUGUCGGCUCAUCACAUCCUGGGGCUGAAGUAGGUCCCAAGGGUAUGGCUGUUCGCCAUUUAAAGUGGUACGCGAGCUGGGUUUAGAACGUCGUGAGACAGUUCGGUCCCUAUCUGCCGUGGGCGCUGGAGAACUGAGGGGGGCUGCUCCUAGUACGAGAGGACCGGAGUGGACGCAUCACUGGUGUUCGGGUUGUCAUGCCAAUGGCACU